GAUCAUGGCUCAGGAUGAACGCUAGCUACAGGCUUAACACAUGCAAGUCGAGGGGAAACGAUAGAGAAAGCUUGCUUUUUCUAGGCGUCGACCGGCGCACGGGUGAGUAACGCGUAUCCAACCUGCCCAUCACUUGGGGAUAACCUUGCGAAAGUAAGACUAAUACCCAAUGACGUCUCUAGAAGACAUCUGAAGGAGAUUAAAGAUUUAUCGGUGAUGGAUGGGGAUGCGUCUGAUUAGCUUGUUGGCGGGGUAACGGCCCACCAAGGCGACGAUCAGUAGGGGUUCUGAGAGGAAGGUCCCCCACAUUGGAACUGAGACACGGUCCAAACUCCUACGGGAGGCAGCAGUGAGGAAUAUUGGUCAAUGGGCGAGAGCCUGAACCAGCCAAGUAGCGUGCAGGAUGACGGCCCUAUGGGUUGUAAACUGCUUUUAUAAGGGAAUAAAGUGGGAGUCGUGACUCUUUUUGCAUGUACCUUAUGAAUAAGGACCGGCUAAUUCCGUG
rnacentral:rRNA from 1 species